UACGUAGGGGGCAAGCGUUGUCCGGAAUCAUUGGGCGUAAAGCGCGUGUAGGCGGCUCGGUAAGUCUGCUGUGAAAGUCCAGGGCUCAACCCUGGGAUGCCGGUGGAUACUGUCGAGCUCGAGUCCGGAAGAGGCGAGUGGAAUUCCUGGUGUAGCGGUGAAAUGCGCAGAUAUCGGGAGGAACACCAAUGGCGAAGGCAGCUCGCUGGGACGUGACUGACGCUGAGACGCGAAAGCGUGGGGAGCAAACAGG
rnacentral:rRNA from 1 species